rnacentral:rRNA from 1 species
GGUGUAGGUGGCUCUGCAAGUCAGGAGUGAAAGCCCCAGGCUUAACCUGGGAAGUGCUUUUGAUACUGCAGAGCUUGAAUGUGGGAGAGGAUGGUGGAAUUCCAGGUGUAGUGGUGAAAUACGUAGAUAUCUGGAGGAACUCCGGUGGCGAAGGCGGCCAUCUGGCCCAACAUUGACACUGACGAACCGAAAGCGUGGGGAUCAAAC